AAUUUUUUAUGAACUUUGAUGGAGUUGGGAGAAGAAGAAAAUGGGUUUGGAGAGGUUGAAGAAGGUAUAAAUGGUGAAAAAGGGAAAUCUGCCCGUUACGUCAUGGCGCCCGCCAUGAAGCCUAUGGCGUCCGUCAUGUCUUCGGAUUUGGUUUGGGCCGGCUUGGUGUUUGCUACUUGGGCUUUUGUCCUUUUCUCUUCAUAUUUGUAAUGGGGGGUGCACAUAGGUUGCUACGAAUGCUGUUUUUUUAUUUAAGUUCGAUAAAAGAAAA
rnacentral:lncRNA from 1 species